AUUGAACACUGGCGGCAUGCCUUACACAUGCAAGUCGGACGGUAGGGGGGCAACCCCUGAGAGUGGCGAACGGGUGAGUAAUGCAUCGGAACGUGCCCAGUUGUGGGGGAUAACGUAGCGAAAGCUACGCUAAUACCGCAUACGACCCGAGGGUGAAAGGGGGGGAUCGCAAGACCUCUCGCAAUUGGAGCGGCCGAUGUCAGAUUAGCUAGUUGGUGGGGUAAAAGCCUACCAAGGCGAAGAUCUGUAGCUGGUCUGAGAGGACAACCUGCCACACGGGGAGUGGGCCGCGGCCCAGACUCCUACGGUAGGCAGCAGUGGGGACUUUUGGACAAUGGCCGCAAGUCUGAUCCAGCCAUGCCGCGUGCAGGAAGAAGGCCUUCGGGUUGUAAACUGCUUUUGUCAGGGAAGAAAUCCCUUGGGAUAAUACCUCGGGGGGAUGACGGCACCUGAAGAAUAAGCACCGGCUAACUACGUGCCAGCCGCCGCCGUAAUAC
rnacentral:rRNA from 1 species